GGUUCUGUGGUGUAGCUGGUUAUCACACUUGUCUAACAUCUCCUAGAGAUAUCUGGACACAAGUGGUCCCCGGUUCGAGCCCGGGCAGAAUCA
rnacentral:tRNA from 1 species